rnacentral:rRNA from 1 species
CGGACGGGUGAGUAACGCGUGAGAAUCUAACUUCAGGACGGGGACAGCAGUUGGAAACGACUGCUAAUACCCGAUGUGCCGCAAGGUGAAACCUAAUUGGCCUGAAGAAGAGCUUGCGUCUGAUUAGCUAGUUGGUGGGGUAAAGGCCUACCAAGGCGACGAUCAGUAGCUGGUCUGAGAGGAUGAGCAGCCACACUGGGACUGAGACACGGCCCAGACUCCUACGGGAGGCAGCAGUGGGGAAUUUUCCGCAAUGGGCGAAAGCCUGACGGAGCAACGCCGCGUGAGGGAGGAAGGUCUUUGGAUUGUAAACCUCUUUUCUCAAGGAAGAAGUUCUGACGGUACUUGAGGAAUCAGCCUCGGCUAACUCCGUGCCAGCAGCCGCGGUAAUACGGGGGAGGCAAGCGUUAUCCGGAAUUAUUGGGCGUAAAGCGUCCGCAGGUGGUCAGCCAAGUCUGCCGUCAAAUCAGGUUGCUUAACGACCUAAAGGCGGUGGAAACUGGCAGACUAGAGAGCAGUAGGGGUAGCAGGAAUUCCCAGUGUAGCGGUGAAAUGCGUAGAGAUUGGGAGGAACAUCGGUGGCGAAAGCGUGCUACUGGGCUGUAUCUGACACUCAGGGACGAAAGCUAGGGGA